ACUCGGCUGGAGCCAGACGGACACCGCGAGCUCCGCAAGGACUGGAAGGAGAUCCACCGGCGGCACGGACAGCAGCAACAGCGGCCGGAGAAGCAGCAGCAACAGCGGAGAGAGAGAUCCGCGGCCGGAGACACCAGCGCACAGAGCGCAACACGGCAGGCGGGCAGAGUUACUCUGCCCCCGCGCGGGCCGGGCCGAGGAGGAGGCAGAUUGGAUCCACCGUGCGGCGAUCCUGUGGUUCCCAGACGACGACGCCGGCCUUGGAGGUUCCUUGGUCGAGAGCUCAGCAGGGCCGGACUGGACCGCCUUGUCCCUUGGGGCCCUGCGCACACUCGAUUGAACACUUUUUUUCCCUUGGCGUUAUCAUCAGGGUUUUGUAAUAAAUGUCCCUUUUUAAUUUGC